rnacentral:rRNA from 1 species
GAGUUUGAUCCUGGCUCAUAACGAACGCUGGCAACAGGCUUAACACAUGCAAGGCGAACGAGAAGCCAUCCUUCUGUGAGUUGAAAAGCGGCGCACGGCUGACUAUCACGUGCGAACCAACCCUUUGGUUGGGAAUAACCGUUAGAAACUGCGGCUAAUACCGAAUAAGCCCUACGGGGGAAAGAUUUAUCGCCGAAGGAUGGGCCCGCGCCGGAUUAGCUUGUUGGUAGGGUAACGGCCUACCAAGGCUACGAUCUGUAGCUGGUCUGAGAGGAUGGUCAGCCACACUGGGACUGAGACACGGCCCAGACUCCUACGGGAGGCAGCAGUGGGGAAUAUUGGACAAUGGGCGCAAGCCUGAUCCAGCCAUGCCGCGUGAGUGAAGAAGGCCCUAGGGUUGUAAAGCUCUUUCACCGGGGAAGAUAAUGACCGGUACCCCGGAAAAGAAGCCCCGGCUAACUCCGGGCCAGCAGCCGCCGGUAAUACCGGAGGGGGCUAGCGUUGUUCCGGAAAUUACUCGGGCCUAAACGCCCCGC